AUGUUCUCUAUUUUAAUAACUUGUGCUCUUCCCCACGGGGGCCCAGUGUACAAUGGCUGCACGCAGUAGCUUCCUUGAUAGUGUAUGUAGCCUGCUGAUUGAAUGGGCUGUCCCAAGGAACCUUGGAGAUAGCC
rnacentral:snoRNA from 1 species